UAGGGAAUCUUCGGCAAUGGGGGGAACCCUGACCGAGCAACGCCGCGUGAGUGAAGAAGGUUUUCGGAUCGUAAAGCUCUGUUGUUAAGGAAGAACGAGUGUGAGAAUGGAAAGUUCAUACUGUGACGGUACUUAACCAGAAAGGGACGGCUAACUACGUGCCAGCAGCCGCGGUAAUACGUAGGUCCCGAGCGUUGUCCGGAGUUAUUGGGCGUAAAGCGAGCGCAGGCGGUUAGAUAAGUCUGAAGUUAAAGGCAGUGGCUCAACCAUUGUAGGCUUUGGAAACUGUUUAACUUGAGUGGAGAAGGGGAGAGUGGAAUUCCAUGUGUAGCGGUGAAAUGCGUAGAUAUAUGGAGGAACACCGGUGGCGAAAGCGGCUCUCUGGUCUGUAACUGACGCUGAGGCUCGAAAGCGUGGGGAGCGAACAGG
rnacentral:rRNA from 1 species